rnacentral:tRNA from 1 species
GGAAGCGUGGCAGAGUGGACGAAUGCACACGACUUGAAAUCGUGCGGGCAAGCGAUCCUUGUCCCGCGGGUUCGAAUCCCGCCGCUUCCGCCA